GACGAACGCUGGCGGCGUGCCUAAUACAUGCGAGUCGAACGAGAGCGCCCGGUGCUUGCACUGGUCAAUCUAGUGGCGAACGGGUGAGUAACACGUGGGUAACCCGCCCAUCAGAGGGGGAUAACAUCCGGAAACGGAUGCUAAAACCGCAUAGGUCUUCGAACCGCAUGGUUUGAAGAGGAAAAGAGGCGCAAGCUUCUGCUGAUGGAUGGACCCGCGGUGCAUUAGCUAGUUGGUGAGGUAACGGCUCACCAAGGCCGUGAUGCAUAGCCGACCUGAGAGGGUGAUCGGCCACAUUGGGACUGAGACACGGCCCAAACUCCUACGGGAGGCAGCAGUAGGGAAUCUUCCGCAAUGGACGCAAGUCUGACGGAGCAACGCCGCGUGAGUGAAGAAGGUGUUCGGAUCGUAAAACUCUGUUGUUAGAGAAGAACAAGUGCUAGAGUAACUGUUAGCGCCUUGACGGUAUCUAACCAGAAAGCCACGGCUAACUACGUG
rnacentral:rRNA from 1 species